CAGUAGCCACGGUAAUACAGAGGGUGCGAGCGUUAAUCGGAUUUACUGGGCGUAAAGCGUGCGUAGGCGGCUUUUUAAGUCGGAUGUGAAAUCCAUGAGCUUAACUUAGGAAUUGCAUUCGAUACUGGGAAGCUAGAGUAUGGGAGAGGAUGGUAGAAUUCCAGGUGUAGCGGUGAAAUGCGUAGAGAUCUGGAGGAAUACCGAUGGCGAAGGCAGCCAUCUGGCCUAAUACUGACGCUGAGGUACGAAAGCAUGGGGAGCAAACAGGAUUAGAUACCCCAGUAGUCCCUGUCUCUUAUAC
rnacentral:rRNA from 1 species